GGGGUAGUCGUAGCGAAAGCGAAUCCUAGUUGGGUGUGUUUAGUGGCAUGUCCUGGACCCGAAGCGGGGUGAUCUACCCAUGGCCAGUGUGAAGCAGCUGUAAGAGGUUGUGGAGGCGCGAACCCACGUAGGUUGAAAACUGCGGGGAUGAGUUGUGGGUAGGGGUGAAAGGCCAAUCAAACUCCGUGAUAGCUGGUUCUCCCCGAAAUGCAUUUAGGUGCAGCGUUAUAUGUUUAGCUUGCCGGAGGUAGAGCUACUGGUUGGUUGAGCGGGACUAUCAUCUUAGCAACAUCAGCCAAACUCCGAAUGCCGGUGUAAGUGUGUAUAGCAGUGAGACUGUGGGGGAUAAGCUUCAUAGUCGAGAGGGAAACAGCCCAGAUCGCCGGUUAAGGCCCCUAAGGGUGUACUAAGUGGAAAAGGAUGUGGGAUCGCGAAGACAGCCAGGAGGUUGGCUUAGAAGCAGCCAUCCUUGAAAGAGUGCGUAAUAGCUCACUGGUCGAGUGGUUCUGCGCCGACAAUGUAGUGGGGCUCAAGUACACCGCCGAAGCCGCGGCAACACUGUUGUGUUGGGUAGGGGAGCGUCGUGCAUGGUGUGAAGCAGUACCGUGAGGAGUUGUGGACUGUGUGCGAGUGAGAAUGCAGGCAUGAGUAACGAGUGUAAGGUGAGAAUCCUUACCGCUGGAUGACUAAGGGUUCCUGGGUCAAGUUCGUCUUCCCAGGGUGAGUCGGGUCCUAAGGCGAGGCCGACAGGCGUAGUCGAUGGUCAACGGGUUGAUAUUCCCGUACCCGUGUAUGCGCGCCAAGUGAUGAAGCGGUGAGACUAACCACCCUGAACAC
rnacentral:rRNA from 1 species